rnacentral:tRNA from 1 species
AAACUAGUUUAUUAAAAAUUUUUGAUUGCAAGUCAGACGAAGAUUAACAAUCGUUUU